GACGAACGCUGGCGGCGUGCCUAAUACAUGCAAGUAGAACGCUGAAGAGAGGAGCUUGCUCUUCUUGGAUGAGUUGCGAACGGGUGAGUAACGCGUAGGUAACCUGCCUGGUAGCGGGGGAUAACUAUUGGAAACGAUAGCUAAUACCGCAUAAAAUUGAUUAUUGCAUGAUACUUAAUUGAAAGAUGCAACUGCAUCACUACCAGAUGGACCUGCGCUGUAUUAGCUAGUUGGUGAGGUAACGGCUCACCAAGGCGACGAUACAUAGCCGACCUGAGAGGGUGAUCGGCCACACUGGGACUGAGACACGGCCCAGACCCCUACGGGAGGCAGCAGUAGGGAAUCUUCGGCAAUGGGGGGAACCCUGACCGAGCAACGCCGCGUGAGUGAAGAAGGUUCUCGGAUCGUAAAGCUCUGUUGUAAGAGAAGAAAGGGUGUGAGAGUGGAAAGUUCACACUGUGACGGUAUCUUACCAGAAAGGGACGGCUAACUACGUG
rnacentral:rRNA from 1 species